UCCCCAAGAGUCCAUAUCGACGGGAUGGUUUGGCACCUCGAUGUCGGCUCGUCGCAUCCUGGGGCUGGAGUCGGUCCCAAGGGUUGGGCUGUUCGCCCAUUAAAGCGGUACGCGAGCUGGGUUUAGAACGUCGUGAGACAGUUCGGUCCCUAUCCGCUGUGCGCGUAGGAAUAUUGAGAAGGGCUGUCCCUAGUACGAGAGGACCGGGACGGACGAACCUCUGGUGUGCCAGUUGUCCUGCCAAGGGCAUGGCUGGUUGGCUACGUUCGGGAGGGAUAACCGCUGAAAGCAUCUAAGCGGGAAGCCUGCUUCGAGAUGAGUAUUCCCACCCCCUUGAGGGGUUAAGGCUCCCAGUAGACGACUGGGUUGAUAGGCCAGAUCUGGAAGGCGGGUAACCGCUGGAGGUGACUGGUACUAAUAGGCCGAGGGCUUGUCCUCAGUUG
rnacentral:rRNA from 1 species